rnacentral:rRNA from 1 species
CCUACGGGAGGCAGCAGUGGGGAAUAUUGCACAAUGGGGGAAACCCUGAUGCAGCAAAGCAGCGUGGGUGAAGAAGCGUUUCGGCGCGGAAAGCCCUGUCAGCAGGGAAGAAAAACGACGGUACCCGGCCAAGAAGCCCCGGCUAACUACGUGCCAGCAGCCGCGGUAAUACGUAGGGGGCGAGCGGUAUCCGGAAUUACUGGGUGUAACGGGAGCGUAGACGGCGAGGUAAGCCUGAAGUGGAAGCCCGCGGCCCAAACGUGGAACUGCGUUGGAAACUGGUGUGCUGGAGUAUGGGAGGGGUAAGCGGAAGUCGUGGUGUAGCGGUGAAAUGCGUAGAUAUCAGGAGGAACACCGGUGGCGAAGGCGGCUUACUGGACCAUAACUGACGUUGAGGCACGAAAGCGUGGGUAUCAAACAGGAUUAGAUACCCCGGUAGUC